GAGACGCCGGGCCCCUGACGUCACCUGAUUCGCCAGGAAAUGAACUUUUUAAUAAUCCGAGAAGGAAAAGACCCUCAGCCCUCUCACCCCCUCCGCACCCGGGACCAAUAGCCCGGGCUCCCCGGGGCUGGACCGAACUUCCAAAGACACUUCAUCCCCUACCGGGGCCCCAAGGGGCUGGGUUCCCGACCUCUCUCGUAGGAAGGAGGCGGAGGCGCAUGACACCAACAUUUGUCCCACUUUCUUCUCUGCAACUCGGUUUCCCCGCUCGGUUUGUUGGCCUGACCAGCACGUUGCUUUCCUCCCCGAUCGCCGAUCGCCGCUGGCAGCUUCAGUCCCAGCUGGCCCUAAGACCGAAGGUCAGUAGAGAGCACGGGUGAGCUGGGGACAAAACCAGCCGAGGAGCGCCGCAAGUCCCCGAAGCCCAGGAUCUCGAGAAGGAACGGCAAGCCACGGUUACUGGGGUCCGGAGGUGGGAUGCAAUGGGAAUGGAGGCAGGGGAGGAAGAGGAAGAAAGGAGGAAGGGAAGCAGAAAGAAAAUGGAGAGAAAGAUUGGUCCUUGAAAGAGGGAGCUGACCAGAUCCUCCGCCUCCUGGGCCCUGGGAGAAAAUCUCCACAGAACAGAGAACGGAACUGAACCGCCGUACUGAAGUCCCCUUUUCUCUUUCCUGGUGGUAUCUUUUCUCCCCCGCCCCCCCCCCCCUUCCUAGGCCGACGGCCCCACAUCCUUUGCUUCCUUUUCUGCCUGGCUGAAAAGUCUUCCAGGUGAGUAAGGAGGCUUCCUUGCAUUCCCGGUGCCAGGGAUGGGGAGAUAAAGACUUCUCCUUCCCCCUCCCCACCACCAAAAAAAAAAAAACAAAAAAAAAAAAACUGGAAUUAGAAGGUGCCUCCAAAGUGUGCAGCCAGGUAGGUCUGCUCCUCCGUUUAGUGGGAUGCGACCAGGCUGGUGCAAAGAGGGGAGAGGAAAGCGAUAGGCUCUUGGCUACUGAUUAGGCUGUGAGUCGAAGAACGAAGAAUUAUUUUCCCCACUUUCUUAUACGGUUGUAAUGAGUAAUAGAUUGCUUUUGUCACCAGAAAUCAUAAUCGUUGUUGUUAUAACUACCAUCACAAUCCGAAGUUAAAACCAAUAUUGUUCAAUUCGUUCUCAUAAAUGACAGUGGACUCCCUGCGGGCAAAAUCAACUUAAGCAGUUGGUGGUGUCGGUGUUCUCACCCUUCCCGAAGCUGUCCUCUCUAGGGGCUCACAAACAAGGGGGGGGGGGUGUGGAAGAGGGGAAGAUUCGAAUUUAAUUACCUCGCUCAACCGAACGGAAAAUAGCCGGCCCUUGGCUGUUUACGGACCCACAGGCAGUCGGGGAACACGGCUGGUUAAACACUCUUCCCUUCAAGGCUGGCGCCUCUCUACAGGAACCGGGUACCCGCAGCCUGCAUUUCGGGCCUCGUUCUUCCCCACGUCUGCGACCAGGCAUCCAGCAUCCGUAGAGACAGGAGAACUGGAAGCCUGGCUGGCUGCAGGAGGGCUGAUUAGAAGAAAUGAAAUCUCCCAGGUAGAAGGAACAAGAGACCCUGCAACCCCCAGAAACUGGCCCCGAGCAUGGGCAAUAAAUCCUCAAGAACUAGCUUUUCCAACCUGCCCUGCCUCUUUCUUAGCAGAAGGUAGAAAUGAGCUUCCUGGCCCUUUUGGUCAGGGCACUUGUCCUGCUUCAUGUUGCUUAUUUUUUUGGAAGAGAGAAGUGCUUUUAAAAGCAUUGGAAAUGCGGACAGCCCAGCCUGUCUUUGAUUUGAUUGACAAGGGCGUUCACAUUCGUUAAAGGAGUACAGGACUCAAGUAGCAAAGUACUUACUGGGAGGAUUAGAGCUGAAAGGGGACAUCUGGUAUUGAAGUGAAAGAAUAAAAAUAUCUGUAACAAAGUUACACGAAGAAACAGGCAAUAUGUGUAAAUAACCGUUGUGUUUUCACUCUUCAAUGGGGUGUGAAGCUUGGCUAGGUCCGUAUUCACUUGCUCUCCUGAACUGCCAAAGAUCCAAGCCUUCCCUUCAUUGAAGGUUUUUUUACUGACACUUGAGAAAGAUUUUAAACGGCCGUCUCUGCAAUCUAGAGGCCCAAUAAACUGCCCCCGCCCCCCCACCAAAAAUAAACUAGCCCUGACGCUUUCCACCAGAAGAACCGAAAGCACCCCACUCUGGGAAGCCGCAGUCCCCAAACGGGCUUGAGUCGCCUGGGCUAUUCCAGACCCGCUCUGCGUUCACCAAAACGGCUCGCUAGAGCACCCUCCCCCAGCUGAGCCCUGGGUCGGCCUAUCCAGCGGUCCCGGCCAGCUCAGCUCAGCUCAGCUCCAUUCCGGGGAAUGAAGACGCAUUGUUCAGCCCACAGCCCUGGCCACUUUACUCUUUGUUUAAACUUCACUCAUCCUGAGG